CAUUAUACUAAAAUAUUAUAAAUAGUUUUAUACAAAAUAAAAAAAAUUGAUUUAUAUUUGUUUGUAAACAUAAUAUGUCAUGGCAUAUUUUUAAAAAUUAUUAAAUUUAUUUUAGUAUUAAAAUACAAAAAGAAGUAUAUAAACAAUAACAAUAAAUUUGAUUUAUAUUUGUUUGUUAAUGUGAUUUUCGUUAUAUUUUCAUUUUUAUUCUUAUCAUUCAGUUGCAAGAAUAACUUGUAUUUGUUAUUUAAGUUGAAAAUUUAAUAUUUCUUUGUUUUGUUAUAAAUCCAUUGGUGGAUGUCCAUAACUGGUCUUGCCAAUAACCGGCCCAAACCCUAGAAGAGAGAGAGAGAGAUGGCCGAAACCCUAGAGAGAGGAGAUACAGGCAGCCGACUUUGGAGAGAGAGAGAGAGAGGCGGCUACUAGAUUAGGAGAAAAGGAAACACUAUUUCAUUUUCCUUAUAUUUGUAGUUAUAUUAAAUCUACAUGGAUUAAGAUUUGUAUACUUUCCAUUUAUCUCUAUCUUGUAAUUCUUAUAUAAAGGAACCUCCAUUGAUCAUUAAUAAUACACAGAUAAAUCCAAUACUUUUACAACACGUUAUCAACAUGAUAGUCCCUAAAACCCUGAGAUAGAAAAAUCGCAAAAACCACCUAAACCCUAACCUAGCUAACGAUCGCACCUAAAUCCUAACCCGAUCGCAUACCGUCCGUUCCAGCAAGCAUUACCGUCUCAGCCUCAUCCGAUCUUAGCUUAGACGACCUCAUACGUUCUCAGCUUGCAUCCUGGACGACCUCAGCUUCGCGAUUAGCAUCACAGCCAGCUCGCGUUCCCGAAACAGCCGCUCGCUAACCCGACAAGAAGAAGACGCGUCCCGUUCCAGCUCAGAUCACGUCCAACGUCCUCAGCUCACAUCCCCGAUCAGACGCCAACCCGUUCGAGACAGCUCGCGUCCGUCCUCAGCUCGCGACCCGAUAGGAGCCAGCUCACGUCCGUCUGUGUGCAGCUAGAGGUUCAUCCGUUCUUUGGUGGUCCGGUUCUCAGCCCUACAAACAGAGGUAUACCGAUUAAUCUGAGAACAUAAUGAUCAAACCCUAAAACCCUAAUCCAUUAUUAUGAAAAUCCUAUGUUCUUGAUUAAACCCUAAAAUUGGUAUAAACCUAAAACUGAUCAUCUCAUAAUCACUAGAUUGAAAUCGAUUCCCUAGAACAUGAUUGAUUGUUUUAUUGAUUGUUCCUGAUCUGAAUUAUAAAAACCCUAAAUCUGGAAUCGAAACCCUAGAAACACUAAAGCUUAAACCGGUUUCUAAAUUGUUUCUUGUUUAAAUGAUUGAUGAUCUGAGAUUUUGGGAUUAAUAGAUUGAUGGAAAACUCGAAACUAAAAUCCUAAGGCCUUGAAACCCUUAAAUCUCAUAAUUGAUAAAAUCGGCUACUUGAAUGUUUAAAACCCUAAAUCUCGUUUUAAAUUCCUAAAGACCUUGAAACCUUAAAAUUGCUUAAAACUUGAAAGAUUGAGGUUUAGGAUUGUUUACAUAUUGCAUGAGAGUUAGGUUGCUAGAUCAUUUGAUUCUGAAACCCUAAAAUCUAGCCACAUAUUACCAACCUUGAAAUUGGUAAACCCUAAUUGAUAUGAAUUGUGUGGCCGUGUGGCUUUGUUAUGAAUCAUACCGAACGGCUGUGUGGCCUAAUCGUUUCGAUGCAUUGCUCAUACUCGCGGCCUUGUGCUCUUGAUUGGUAACUUGCUUACAGCAUGUGAUAGAAAGCCGUGUGGCUUAAUGCAUCAUAGCUUGGUCGUGUGGUCUAGUGAGACACCAUAUCUGAAUGGUCGUGUGACCUUGUUUGCAUAACUCAUGAACCGAUCUCUAGGAUCGUUGUAUCACAAUGGCCGUGUGGCCUAAGCAUCAUAUAUAGACAUUGCAUUCUCGACUUGUCUCGCACCAUGGUCGAGUAGUAAAUUGCUUUGGUCGAAAGACUUAUGAAAUCAUAUGCACUGAUUAUUUAAAUUGGUUGCAAGAAUUCUAAAUCAAGAAUUGAUUGAUAAAAUGAUUUCAGAUGCCGAGAUUUGAUCCCAUGGAUUAUGCCAUUCUAAUUCUCUCUGGAGAUAAUUAUCUAGAAUGGGCAAUGAAAACUUCAGUUAUCCUAAAAUCAAGAGGACUCGGAAGAAGUAUUAUUCAGGGUGGUUAUACAACUAGAAGUGAAAAAGUUAAGAGCCAUAACAAUUAUGCGCCAUCAUCUCACUGAGGAACUGAGAAAUCAGUAUCUACAUAUUGAGAAUCCUCGUGACCUUUGGACAGAAUUAAAGUAAGAUACACAAUGUUGUUAUUACCAAAGGUCAGACACGAUUGGAUGAGUCUCAGAUACCAAGACUUUAGGUCUAUGGCCGAGUACCAUUUUGCUUUGACCAGAAUCGUGUACCAACUGAGACUGUAUGGUGAAAUGGUAACAGAUGAGGAUGUAUUGUUCAAAACAUACUCCACAUUCCAUCCAGGAAACUUUUUAUCAAAACAUAUCUACAUAGAAAGAGUUUUCACCACUUACAAUGACCUGAUCUCUUGCCUAACGGUGAUUGAGAAUGACAAGGUACUAAAGAGGAGUAGUGAGAUGAGAUACCCUGAUACAAAUAAGACUGAUAUGGAUCAGAAUGAAUCCAAGGGAGCCGUGUCCAAUAUAACUCAAGGAAUGGCCGGCAUGUCUAUUGACUAAGAGGGAUCUCGACAUUUUAUUUUAAGUCCUUGACUUGUGUUUUGCUUUAACCUAAUUGUCAUUCACGACUUUACAUAUAUAUAAAAGAGUUUAUUUUGAUUGCCUGAUCUUACUUGAACAUAUGAAUGUUUUGAUAAAGAGUUGCCUAAAGGGCAUAAUACCAAGUAAGAAAUCAUGAAUGGGUAUAGUAGCCUAGUAAGAAACUAUGGCCAAGGCAUUGCCUUAUAAGGCAUUAUACACACCCAAAUGAUAUGUGACCCAUUGAGUUAUAAAUGGUUUCUAAAUAGAAACAAUGGGCAAACAAAAGGAAACAAGUUCCUUCAGAUUUUGAACGCCUAAGACCUUAUAAGAAAAUGGUCAAGACUAUACCUUAUGAUCUCUACUGAUUUAAAACUAUGCUACAAGAUCAGUAUGAUAAGAGGCAAGCGAAGUGGUGACUAUACUGAUAUAUCCCACGAAAUUUUACACUAUAUGGCAUGAUAGGAUUAGCCAUCCUAGUAUAGAACUUGAUGCAAAGAUUAAUAUUGAAAAGGCACAGAGUUAUCCCGUAAAGAUUUCACGUUGUGAAACAUGUACACAAAGGGAAACUCAUUAGGCUUAAUUGUCCCAAGCAUCACGAAAUUAUAGUAUGGUCAUGAGGGGGAGAGAGGAUAAACCCAUGAUCAAUACUACUAGUUCAUGUACUAUGGUCUAAAGACCAUGAUAUAUGGUUCGGCCAUUACUCGGCCAUAAAGGACCAUUCCUCGACCGUAGAGGCCAUGAUACAAACGGCCAAACCAAAGAGGACAUUACUCGGCCGUGACUUGGCCGCAUAGUGCAGGCUUGGCCGCACACAAUCCAUUACCUAUAAAGGUUUGGCCAAGUAAGCUAUUACCCAUAAAGAAUCGGUCAUGUAAGCCAAAGACUAUAGAGUCUAUAAAGCUUGGAGACAUUAUAGAUUUACAUGUAUAUAAAGUUCAAAUGCAUCAGGCCAUAUAAGUGAGCAUAGAUAUUCCCAUCUCAGAUUAUAUACGGGUCAUAAAACCAAACAUACACUAUCUUAAGAGAUUUUGAAUAAACCACCACAUACAUAUAUGUGCCGUCUAAGAUGGAACCUCAGAAGAGGAUUGGGAAUAUAUAUUGGAUAGGAGUAUUACUUUCUCCCACAAAUUCAAAGAAAACUUGAGCCAAACAUGGGUGAUUAGAUUGUGGCCAGGUACACGGAUUACAUGAUCAAUGAAUCCGACUAUCCAACAUUAAAAGGAGAAAGUUAUAAGCUGGUAAAGAAUGAUAAAAGAGUAAAAGAAUGAUAAGAGAAAUAGAAUGGUAUUAACCAUCAUUGUCUUGGCAAGAUCCUCGGACUAGAGAAUAUGAUUUAAGACGUCCAAAGAAAUAUUAUACAAAGCUAGCUAAUCUAGAUGCCAGACACUGACCCGAAAAGAAAAGAAAAGAAUGGCUAAGUCAUAACCACCAGCUUAGCACCAAACGUAAUCUAAUGUCCUAGAAAGAUACAUAGUCAAGUUGCUACAGAGUCUAUACAAGAUAGACCAAUGAGUUCCAUAAGAAAAGGAACCUCGGAAAGAAAAGGUGCAUAGAAUACAGAUCCGAGGUCAUAAGAGAAACCAUACCAGACAUUGAGAUAAGGCUGCGCAGCUGAACAUCUACGGUACCAAACCAUGUAGUCUUGGGACGCUAAGCUACUAGGUAACAAAGGUCCUGGAUAAUGAAAUCUCAAAUCGAUUAGAUCAUGUCUGGAACAACAAUGGAACCACACAUAUAUAUAAGUGUCAACAAAUGAGAGUUAUAUUUGUAUAAGGAUACAUAAAGUAGUAGUACUUAAGUUUAAAGAUAUAAGCGAGGAUCAUGAACCCACGAAAGAGUACUCAUAAAGAUUAAAUAUUAAAGGUUAGAUUGAAAGAUAAACGUGGGGUUCAUAGUAUCUAAAGAAGAGAUAGGCGUAUUGGCCAUACACAAAUACAGAAACACCAUCGGAUAAACCAGUGAAAUAGAUGGGUCUUUUGAAAAAAAAGAAACCGUGAGAUAUGGUACAUGAUCAAGUGGUCUAAAGGUGUUCAUGUUUUCCUACUAACAGCAUUAGAUCAUAGCUUGUUGCACAAGGAUGCUCACAGAGACCAAAGGAAUAGAUUAUAAGGAGAUAAAUUCCUAUGUGGUGGAUGCUGCUACAGAUUUUCGAAAUUGACAAAAGGUCUGGUCAUAUGAAAGAAAUUAGAUUGACAUAUAAUGAUAUAGUAAGUAGCACAUGGAUCACUGGAUAAAGAACAUCAUUGUUCCUAAGCUGUUCAUAGACUGAAAUAAAGCAGCUGCAUAUAGUAUAUAAUACUAGUAAAGGAGUUGUAUAAGAACAAUCCAAAUUCAGUCCAUAUACUUAUAAAAGAGAUUUGAAUUCCUUGUGUUUACUUUAUACUAAACCAGCCUAAAGAGAGGUUAAUUGGUUGAUACAGAUUAUCUAUUAAAUCUGUGUGGGUUUUCCGGCUAGAAGUGUCCGACCCUUCUUCUUUAAUCAUGGCUAGUGAAAAAGAAAGAACAGCCAUCAUGAUUGUAGUCCAUAAACACAUGUGGCCGAGGUCCAUGACCUAAUAUGCGUGGUAUGAUCCACGGCGACAGAGGUCAUAGGACGCCAUCAUAUACUAAGAUAGGACUGCAAAGACUAAUGAAUGUAGCAUUGCCAAAGGCAAGAAGAGUCGAUAGUCAUGUAUGAGGUCCUUGAGUGUAUUUGGCCGAAGAGCCAUAGUUUGAUGAGAUUCAUGAGUGUAUUUGGACAAAGAGCCAUAGUUAGAUAAGAUUGUAAAACUCAUUACAACAAUGAUCAUUGAUCAAGUCAUGAUCUUGGACACUCGUGAGACAAGUUAUGAAUAUGUAUAAAAGAAGUAUAUGACUCAACAUGGAUCGAUCAGAUUAGAGUGUGGUCGAUGGUAGUAAAGAAGAAGCUCCUAUAAUCAGCACUUUAUCAUCGUCACUAAUCAUGAUAGCCAAAAGAGAGUAUCCAAGAGGAUGUUUUGGUCAAGGACCAUAGUCCUACAUGUCGGACCAAAGUAUAGAGUGGUCGACAGAAAAGGUUCACUUCUUAACCAUGUACACAUGAUGUCAGAAGACAUGAGAAAAGACCGGAAAGAUCAAAGUGAUCCAAUUACGGUUCAGUAAUAAACUUGGCCGAUUUGAUUACUCCCUCCCUGCACAGGAAAGAUCACGCAUCAGAUGCGUAGACUAAAGAACCUACACUGAGGUUCACAUUAGGGGGAGUAGUACGUGUUGUACUCUAUUUCCUUCAUCAUGGUUUUGUCCCACUGAAUUUUCCUGAUAGGUUUUUAAUGAGGCAACAUGAAGUGUACUACGAUCCUAUAUGGUUAUGGCAUCCAAGGGGGAGUGUUAUAAAUCCAUUGGUGGAUGUCCAUAACCGGCCCAAACCCUAGAAGAGAGAGAGAUGGCCGAAACCCUAGAGAGAGGAGAGAGAGAGGCGGCCGACUUUGGAGAGAGAGAGAGGCUGCUACUAGAUUAGGAGAAAAGGAAACCCUAUUUUCUUUUCCUUAUAUUUGUAGUUAUCCUAUAUCUAGAUGGAUUAGGAUUUGUAUAUUUUUUUCAUUUAUUUCUAUCUUGUAAUCCUUAUAUAAAGGAACCCCCAUUGAUCAUUAAUAAUACACAGAUAAAUUUCAUACUUUUACGAUAAAUUCCAUACUUUUACAACAUGUUUUUUAUUUUUACUAAAUAUUUAUUGUUAUCAUCUAGUUGCAAGAAUAACUUUAUAAAAAGAAUAUUUUCAAAAUAUUUUUACAACAAGUACCUUAUAUUUAUGAAAAUUUAAAAUUUACUUUAUUUACUUUUAAUUUUUCAAGAGUUUUAAAGAAUUAUAACUUUGUUUAAAUUAAAAUUUCCUCAAAUAUACAUUACAUAUUACUGUUUUGUUUGUCCACAUAGUUGGUCUGCUUGAGUGUUUAUUUAAUUAUUAUAGGAACUAUUUCACAAUAUAACUAUAUAUAUAUAUAAUAUAUAUAUAUAUAUAUUUAUAUAUAUCAAUAUUCUUAUUUAUUUUGACUAAUAUAAUAUGUAAAGCUGAGUUUGGUUUAACAAUUUUGUGCUUUUGAUUUAUUUUGAGAUUUUGUAGGUUAUACUAAUUCCUAGAAUUUGGUUUAAUAACAUCACUUUAUAUUAAUAAUUAUAUAUUUUUUUAUUUAAUUAUAUCAUUGUUUAUAAAUUAAUAUAAUACAAUUUUGUUCAAGAUAACAACAUAUUUACAAGAUAUUAGUGUUGUUAUCCAAAAAUAAUGUUUUAAAUCAAUAAAAAUUAAGAAUUAAAAAUUGAAAGAUUCAUAAAAUAGUAUAAAUUUAAUGUUUUAUUUAAUUUUUUUUAUCAUUAAACUAAUAAUAUAUUUUAUAAUAAAUAUUUUAUUAAAUAACUAUGCCCGCAUGUGCGGGAAAAACUCCUAGUUCAUAAUUAAUUACAAGAGUUAUAGUAAAUAAUAACAUCAUUUGUAUUAAAUGAUGCAAAAGUUAGGAUCAAUUUUGGCAAAUGACACAUACUAAUAUCAUAAAUGAUGCAAAUAUAGAAAAUAUUAUCAUCAUUUGUGUUUGAACUGAUUUAAAUUAUUUGCAUCACCACUUUCAGAGUCAUUUAUAUAAGCGAUGUAAAAUUUACUUGUAUCAUUUAUAAUUGAUGUAAAUAUUUAAAAUAAAUGAUUCAAAACACCUGUUUUUUUGUAAGGACAUAUUUUUUUUUGGUUGAAAAACUUGAUAAACAAAUUUUAAAAUUUUGUUCUACUAAAAGUAGAAUUUGUCUUCUACGGAAAAUGAGUUAGUAGAAAACGAAUUCCAGAAUAAACAAGUCUAUCUACUUUUUUUAGAACAAAACAAUCUACUUUUAAUUAAAAUUCUAAAUAUGGAGAAUGCGAAUUAUACUAAUUGUAAAGAUAUCUACCUUUCUCUCAAAUGCAGUUUCUAGUUUUAUGAAGUAUUCUAAAAUUUCGGGAAUGCGAAAUCUAAAUACAACACGUACGUCUACAUGAGGUAGAAAUUGCAUUCAAGUUUUUUGUCAUGGUUCUACUUAGGGGUGUUCAAUCCGGAUAUCGGUUCGGUGUCGGUUCGGUUUUUUCAGUUUUUCGGUAUUUCGGUUAGUAAAAUAUAACUACCAUUCUAAAUCCAUAUUUACUUCGGUUCGGUUCGGUUCGGUUUAUAUACCGUCGGUUUUUGGUUUAUUCGGUUUUAUACCAAAACAUAAUUAUUUAGUUUGGGAUCAUAUUAUAUAAAUUUUAGAGUCAUAUUGUCAUUGCAGUCAUUUAUUAAAAAGAUAUUAUAUUUUCAAAUAAAAGAAAAAAUAUAAAAACGCUUAUACCUUCAGAUGAAAUAAUCAAUUCUAGAAUUAAAAUCAAAGGCUCGAAAUUUUGAAAAUAAAAAUAAAAAAAAAACAAAAGAGAAGUAUGAAAGAAAAGUUUU